rnacentral:lncRNA from 1 species
UUAUAAAUAUAAAAAAUAACCCUAUAUUGUACAUGUAGAUGCAUGCCAUAAGAAAAAAAAUAAAUAAAUUUCCACUGAUUCAUUCACCAUCUAUAAAUCUAUAUAAAGCCACAAUACUUUUUACCACGUGGCAUGUUACGUACCUUUCACUCUCAUAACUCAACUUUAAAUCAAACCAGCUUCACUUCUUUUCAACGCCCAAUUCUUUACAUUCCCACUUCUCUAAUUACAUGUAAGGUGCAAUAUUUAAUUAUAUGCACCAUAUUAAUAUUCUAUCAAUAAGCGGGCUUUAUAACUUUAAUCCACUCUCCUUCUCCAUUAAUCUCCCAUCCCUUCUCUUCUGUAACUCUUUUGCAUAUACUAUAAACUUUUUUUUUGCCACGUGACAUGUUACCCUUCAUUCUCAUAGCCCAACUUUAAAUCAAACCACUUUCUCCUCUUCUCAACGUCCAGCCCUUCACCUCCCCAUUCCUCUAAUUACAUGGAAGGUGCAACAUUUAAUUACAUGCACUAUAUUAAUAUUCUAUCAAUGAGUGGGUUCUAACUAUAAUUUUAUUUUUUUAACAGUUGAAUUUAGACAUGCAAAUUGGCUGUGUUUAACAUGGUAUAGCUUCCUAUAUAUCAAUAAGCUGUAAAUAUAAAUUUUAUUAAAAUUUUUAAAUUUUGUUUCUAUUAUCUAGCCGCUGCAUCGCGCGGGUUUCUACACUAGUCUUUAUAAUAUGGUGAUUUAUUUAACAUGUUUAAUGAAAUAACAUAAUGUAUUUUUAAUAAAAGAACAUAAGUCUUUUACUUUUUAUUUACUAUUCUAAACACAGUGAAUGGAUCACCAUAUUCACUUCUCCCUUAUCCUGCAUUGUGCCUAUGUGUAUAAAUAUACGUAAAAAAAAGUUUCAUGAUUUACACCCUAAAAGCGCACUACAAGAAAAAUCAUAUUUCUUGGCCGUCAAAAUUGCCAGCAAAAGUAGCCAAAAGUGCCACUAAAGAUCAAUCUUGGCAUUUUCUAAAUCGCCAGUAAUGCAACUGUCGACAAAAGUAAAUUGCCAGCAAAGCAAUAUUUACUGGCAAUUUGAAGUGCUGAUAAAUAGUAAUUACUGGCAAUUUGAAGUGCUAAAAAUACUAUUUAUCUUGGCAAUUUAAAUG